AUUGAACGCUGGCGGCAUGCUUUACACAUGCAAGUCGAACGGCAGCGCGGUAUUCGGCCUGGCGGCUAGUGGCGGACGGGUGAGUAAUGCAUCGGAACGUGCCCAGCUGCUGGGGAUAGCGCGGCGACAGCCGGAUUAAUACCGCAUACCACCUGACGGUGUAAGCGGGGUUACCAAAGGCCUUGCGCCAUUGCACCGUCCGAUUUCGGACUAGCUAGUUUGUAGGGUAAAGGCGUACCAAGGCGACGAUCCGUAGCUGGUCUGAGAGGAGGAACAGCCACACUGGGACUGAGACACGGCCCAGACUCCUACGGGAGGCAGCAGUGGGGAAUUUUGGACAAUGGGGGCAACCCUGAUCCAGCCAUGCCGCGUGAGGGAAGAAGGCCUUCGGGUUGUAAACCGCUUUUGUUCGGGAAGAAACGCUCUGGGCUAAUACCCCGGGGGGAUGACGGUACCGAAAGAAGAAGCACCGGCUAACUACGUG
rnacentral:rRNA from 1 species